rnacentral:rRNA from 1 species
CCUACGGGAGGCUGCAGUGGGGAAUAUUGCACAAUGGGCGCAAGCCUGAUGCAGCCAUGCCGCGUGUGUGAAGAAGGCCUUCGGGUUGUAAAGCACUUUCAGCGGGGAGGAAGGCGUUAAGGUUAAUAACCUUGGCGAUUGACGUUACCCGCAGAAGAAGCACCGGCUAACUCCGUGCCAGCAGCCGCGGUAAUACGGAGGGUGCAAGCGUUAAUCGGAAUUACUGGGCGUAAAGCGCACGCAGGCGGUCUGUCAAGUCGGAUGUGAAAUCCCCGGGCUCAACCUGGGAACUGCAUUCGAAACUGGCAGGCGAGAGUCUUGUAGAGGGGGGUAGAAUUCCAGGUGUAGCGGUGAAAUGCGUAGAGAUCUGGAGGAAUACCGGUGGCGAAGGCGGCCCCCUGGACAAAGACUGACGCUCAGGUGCGAAAGCGGGGGGAGCAAACAGGAUUAGAUACCCUGGUAGUC